CCUACGGGAGGCAGCAGUGGGGAAUCUUGGACAAUGGGCGCAAGCCUGAUCCAGCCAUGCCGCGUGAGUGAUGAAGGCCCUAGGGUCGUAAAGCUCUUUCGCCAGGGAUGAUAAUGACAGUACCUGGUAAAGAAACCCCGGCUAACUCCGUGCCAGCAGCCGCGGUAAUACGGAGGGGGUUAGCGUUGUUCGGAAUUACUGGGCGUAAAGCGCACGUAGGCGGAUCGGAAAGUUGGGGGUGAAAUCCCGGGGCUCAACCCCGGAACUGCCUCCAAAACUAUCGGUCUAGAGUUCGAGAGAGGUGAGUGGAAUUCCGAGUGUAGAGGUGAAAUUCGUAGAUAUUCGGAGGAACACCAGCGGCGAAGGCGGCUCACUGGCUCGAUACUGACGCUGAGGUGCGAAAGUGUGGGGAGCAAACAGGAUUAGAUACCCUGGUAGUCCACACCGUAAACGAUGAAUGCCAGUCGUCGGGUAGCAUGCUAUUCGGUGACACACCUAACGGAUUAAGCAUUCCGCCUGGGGAGUACGGUCGCAAGAUUAAAACUCAAAGGAAUUGACGGGG
rnacentral:rRNA from 1 species